GUCAAGUGUGGUGGCGCACCCCUGUAAUCCCAAAUGGCUUGGGAGGCUGAGGCAGGAGGAUCGCUAGUUUAAAGCCAGACUCAUCAAAAUCUAGGUGCUAAGCAACUCAGUGAGACCCUGUCUCUA
rnacentral:sRNA from 1 species